rnacentral:rRNA from 1 species
AGUGAACGCUGGCGGUAGGCCUAACACAUGCAAGUCGAACGGCAGCACAGUAAGAGCUUGCUCUUACGGGUGGCGAGUGGCGGACGGGUGAGGAAUACAUCGGAAUCUACUUUUUCGUGGGGGAUAACGUAGGGAAACUUACGCUAAUACCGCAUACGACCUACGGGUGAAAGCAGGGGAUCUUCGUACCUUGCGCGAUUGAAUGAGCCGAUGUCGGAUUAGCUAGUUGGCGGGGUAAAGGCCCACCAAGGCGACGAUCCGUAGCUGGUCUGAGAGGAUGAUCAGCCACACGGGAACUGAGACACGGUCCAGAGUCCUACGGGAGGCAGCAGUGGGGAAUAUUGGACAAUGGGCGCAAGCCUGAUCCAGCCAUACCGCGUGGGUGAAGAAGGCCUUCGGGUUGUAAAGACCUUUUGUUGGGAAAGAAAAGCAGCAGGUUAAUACGCCGCUGUUCUGACGGUACCCAAAGAAUAAGCACCGGCUAACUUCGUG